rnacentral:rRNA from 1 species
UACGAUCCCGUGCAAGGUUAAGUUUGAAAAGACGGAGCCGCAGCGAAAGCGAGUCUGAAUAGGGCGCAUGAGUACGUGGUCGUAGACCCGAAACCAGGUGAUCUACCCAUGUCCAGGGUGAAGUUCAGGUAACACUGAAUGGAGGCCCGAACCCACGCACGUUGAAAAGUGCGGGGAUGAGGUGUGGGUAGGGGUGAAAUGCCAAUCGAACCUGGAGAUAGCUGGUUCUCUCCGAAAUAGCUUUAGGGCUAGCCUCAAGGUAAGAGUCUUGGAGGUAGAGCACUGAUUGGACUAGGGGCCCCUACCGGGUUACCGAAUUCAGUCAAACUCCGAAUGCCAAAGACUUAUCCUUGGGAGUCAGACUGCGAGUGAUAAGAUCCGUAUUCGAAAUGGAAACAGCCCAGACCGCCAGCUAAG